CUUCCUCACGGUCUCCUCAGAGCCAACAGGCGCGACCCCAGCUCAUUGUGUCCGCCAUCUUGGGGCGACAGGCAGAAGCCGAGAGCGAGGAUCCUUAUCCGCUGCGCACGCCGGGAUAGGGGGCGGGGCGGGAAUAGCGGCGUUAGGCGGGGUGGUGACGUCAGCGCAGCUGCAGGGGGCGGGGAGCGGUGGUGCGGCGGCAGGGCUUGCGGCCCCGUUGGACCGGGGGUAAUUGACCCUUACUUCCCCAGUGAGUGGGAAGGCUGAGGGGGUGAUCUAGGGCCCAGCGCAGUUUUGCUUGAUUGAGACCUCAGGAAAUUCAGGCGCUCCCCAGAAUUUAGGGAUCAAACUCGGGACCUUGCACUUGAGAGGCAGGCGCUGGAACCACUGAGCCUGGUUCCCUGCCCUACUGUAGUGGGGGCUCUGCUGGCUUCCAGUCCAACAGUAUCACUGCCUUAAUGGAUGGAUUUUCAAAGGGACCCAGAAAGGCUCAUUCCAGUGACAAGAAGAACCUUGAAUCCAGCUCUAGGAGAGGCAAGUAACCCAGAACAUGGUAACGUUUAUUUGUCAAGCCACUUCAAGAAAGAGCUACCCGAUAACAGUUGAUAUACUGUUUAAGGGGGAGGGGAGUGCAUGGGAAUAAAAAAAGAAUUAAGAAGGUGUUAUGUACAUAUAUGAACUCCCCAUGAGGAAUAUGAUCAUUAUGUACUACAGAUAUGCACUAAUAAAAAAAUAAAAAUUGAAAAAAAACUACUUAAUGCCUGACAAAUUGCUUGGUUUGCUAAAUGAAUGUUUAAUUUCACUCACCACUAAGAGCAAAGAAAUGUUCUAUGAUGGAGAUGAACAGAGGUAAUUCCGUGUGUUAUCAGGUUCCGGGGUGUUGGGUACUCUAUCUAUUACUGUGAAACAGGCAGUUAUAGUCUGUUAUAGUCCAGGCUUUUGUGUACAAUGGGAAAAGAAUUGCAAAGUGUACACCUGAUAGUAAGCGGCAAGCAGCUCCAUUCAUUGAAGAUCAAGAGGCAUUGUGCUCAGGGCUCAUUGGUGCCAAAAAAAGAUAUGAUACAGACAGAAAAAUGGUGGCAGGUGACAGGAAAGGAAAAGCACUGCACAUAAGUUAUAGCACAGGGAAACAGCAACAGCCACAAUCCUCAAUAAAUAAGGCUUUCAGAAUUUAAAGGAUAUGCAUCUCAACCAGGUGCCUCCCCCUGAAUGUCUAGUUGUGACUGACAGGAAUGACUGAUGGGAUGCUGAAUCAUUUUAGGGGCUCUCGAUAUGCAAGCUUGUCCCAGAAUUCACUCUGAUCUUUAUUACA